rnacentral:rRNA from 1 species
GACGAACGCUGGCGGCGUGCUUAACACAUGCAAGUCGAACGGAAUUGCCCUGCUUUUGUGGGGUGCUCGAGUGGCGAACGGGUGAGUCAUACGUGAGUAACCUGCAUUUGACUUUGGGAUUACUUCAGGAAACUGGGGCUCAUACUGGAUAGGAGCUUCUGCUGCAUUGUGGGGGAUGGAUAGUUUCGGCGGAUGGGGAUGGACUCGCGGCUUAUCAGCUUGUUGGUGGGGUAGUGGCUUACCAAGGCUUUGACGGGUAGCCGGCCUGAGAGGGUGACCGGCCACAUGGGGAAGACGACACGGCCAAGACGCCGACGGGAGGCAGCAGUGGUGAAUAUUGCACAAUGGGCGGAAGCCUGAUGCAGCAACGCCGCGUGCAGGAGUACGGCCCUCGGUUUGUAAACCGCUUACGCCUGUGACGAAGCGUGAGUGACGGUAAUGAGUAGAGAAGCAACGGGUAACUACGGG